rnacentral:rRNA from 1 species
AGUGAACGCUGGCGGUAGGCCUAACACAUGCAAGUCGAACGGCAGCACAGUAAGAGCUUGCCCUUACGGGUGGCGAGUGGCGGACGGGUGAGGAAUACAUCGGAAUCUACUUUUUCGUGGGGGAUAACGUAGGGAAACUUACGCUAAUACCGCAUACGACCUACGGGUGAAAGCAGGGGAUCUUCGGACCUUGCGCGAUUGAAUGAGCCGAUGUCGGAUUAGCUAGUUGGCGGGGUAAAGGCCCACCAAGGCGACGAUCCGUAGCUGGUCUGAGAGGAUGAUCAGCCACACUGGAACUGAGACACGGUCCAGACUCCUACGGGAGGCAGCAGUGGGGAAUAUUGGACAAUGGGCGCAAGCCUGACCCAGCCAUACCGCGUGGGUGAAGAAGGCCUUCGGGUUGUAAAGCCCUUUUGUUGGGAAAGAAAAGCAGCAGGUUAAUACCCCGCUGUUCUGACGGUACCCAAAGAAUAAGCACCGGCUAACUUCGUG